UUUUUUGAGAAUUUGAUCCUGGUUCAGGACGAACGCUGGCAGUGUACCUUAAGCAUGCAAGUCGAACGGUGAAGUUUGAAGCCGCAAGGCUGAGAAUGGAUCAGUGGCAGACGGGUGAGGAAAGACAGGAAUCUACCUUUUUGUGGGGAAUAGCUAGCCGAAAGGCUAAUUAAUACCGCAUAAGUCCGCAAGGAGAAAGACGCAAGUCGCAGAAAGAUGAGCCUGUUCGCUAUCAGCUAGUUGG
rnacentral:ncRNA from 1 species